ensembl:lncRNA
UUUUUAUUUAUUUAUUUAUUUUUUUUUUUAAUUUUAAAUGCCAUUAUUUCUUAGGCUUAGAAAUGUUGCGUUAUUCAACAACCUGACGACCUCAAAUUCUUAUCAAUAUAAAAUGAAAUAAGUUUAUACUAUAAAACGGCAAGUAUGAGUAAUAAAUCAUUAAUAAGGGUGUAUCACAAGCAGCAUGAUCUUGUCUGAGGAAACCGGAAGCGCUGUUGUCUGCUGUGUGGCGUCACAGCAAUUUCCUCUUUAGCAAAAGGCAACAACGUCACAAUCUCAGCAACAGAGGGCGACAGAGAGCAACAAAUCAGUGCAGCAGUCCUACAGGUUUGAUUGCAGAUUAAUAAAUCGCAUAUUUUCAUGUAUCAACGCAGAACAAGGGCGAUAUAGAACUACAAACACUCUACAACUGCAUCACUAAUACAAUUUAGGUCUUCAGUUCAACUAACCUGACAUUCCAGUAACAAAAAAAAAUUAAUAAAUAAAAAAAACCUAAAUGGAUGGAUGCUAUGACGAAAAGGCUAUUUUCUCGGCCAUAACGACUCGAGGGUUUCUAAGAAUAACCCUUCCUAGUUUCUAUAUUUGGAAACGACUUCUAGGAAAAUAGAAACUGCCAGCUUCAUAUUCAGUUCCACGUGUUUAACUUCGCUCCCUUUUAAAGCAUAAGAAAAGCAUCGAGCAGCACGUGAGCGAUUUUUCAUACUGCCACCCAUUGAUGAUCAUUAAUAGACCGGAGAAUGUCCGCGAGGAAUUGGCGUGUGUUGCUGGAAAUGGCAUCUCCCCCUGCACGGCCCCUGCUUUACCUAGUAGCGUGACCAUGAAGCAAUGCACGAGCAGAGAGAUCUCAACAUGCACAGAGUCAGUCUGCUGCUCAUCUCACCAGCGGGAGCGCGAACAGCGUGCACUUAAAGAAAAAAUAUCUGAUUCCCAUCAGCCACAUGCUUCUUUCAACCCCACAGCGCGUCUUUAUUCAUUCGGGAUUCCUUUAAAUGUUCAGAAGAAGCCACUGGAGACCUUCCUGUUCCCUUUUCCCAGCAGCUACUUGUUAAAGCUUCCAGCAACCAGCUGCACUUCAUGGCGAUAG